CCUACGGGAGGCAGCAGUGAGGAAUAUUGGUCAAUGGACGAGAGUCUGAACCAGCCAAGUAGCGUGAAGGAUGACUGCCCUAUGGGUUGUAAACUUCUUUUAUAAAGGAAUAAAACGAGGCACGUGUGCCUUUUUGCAUGUACUUUAUGAAUAAGGAUCGACUAACUCCGUGCCAGCAGCCGCGGUAAUACGGAGGAUCCGAGCGUUAUCCGGAUUUAUUGGGUUUAAAGGGAGCGUAGAUGGGUUGUUAAGUCAGUUGUGAAAGUUUGCGGCUCAACCGUAAAAUUGCAAUUGAUACUGGCAGUCUUGAGUACUGUUGAGGUGGGCGGAAUUCGUGGUGUAGCGGUGAAAUGCUUAGAGAUCACGAAGAACCCCGAUUGCGAAGGCAGCCUACUAAACUGUGACUGACAUUGAGGUGCGAAAGUGUGGGUAUCAAACAGGAUUAGAUACCCAAGUAGUC
rnacentral:rRNA from 1 species